rnacentral:rRNA from 1 species
UACGGGGGGGGCAAGCGUUGUUCGGAAUUACUGGGCGUAAAGGGCUCGUAGGCGGCCAACUAAGUCAUACGUGAAAUCCCUCGGCUUAACCGGGGAACUGCGUCUGAUACUGGAUGGCUUGAGUUCGGGAGAGGGAUGCGGAAUUCCAGGUGUAGCGGUGAAAUGCGUAGAUAUCUGGAGGAACACCGGUGGCGAAGGCGGCAUCCUGGACCGAUACUGACGCUGAGGAGCGAAAGCCAGAGGAGCAAACGGG